rnacentral:SRP_RNA from 1 species
CCGUGCACGUGGGGCGCUAGGGGUGCCCUGUUCCCGAAAUCCUCUUCAUGCGGGACGCAUGCCUCGCCCGAGGGCGGUCGAGUUUCGGGUCAGCGCCGGAUCGUUCGGUGAUGAAGCACAGGUCUCACGCGGCGGAGCGGCCGUGAAUCGGGUCAGGUCCGGAAGGAAGCAGCCCUAAGUGACUCGCUCUGGGUGCUGUGGGGUCGCCUGCGUGGAGUCGGACGCCCGGGACGCGCCGUGGUUCGAGUGUUCGACGGCGAGGCGCACGG